rnacentral:rRNA from 1 species
UACGUAGGGUGCUAGCGUUAUCCGGAUUUACUGGGCGUAAAGGGUGCGUAGGUGGUCUUUCAAGUCGGUGGUUAAAGGCUACAGCUCAACCGUAUUAAGCCGCCGAAACUGGAAGACUUGAGUGCAGGAGAGGAAAGUGGAAUUCUCAAUGUAGCGGUGAAAUGCGUAGAUAUUGGGAAGAACACCAGUAGCGAAGGCGGCUUUCUGGACUGCAACUGACACUGAGGCACGAAAGCGUGGGUAGCAAACAGG